rnacentral:rRNA from 1 species
CCUGGUUGAUCCUGCCAAUAGCAUAUGCUUGUCUCAAAGAUUAAGCUAUGCACGUGUAAGUACAUACGGCCAGUACAGUGAAACUGCGAAUGGCUGAUUAAAUCAGUUAUGGUUCCUUGAUUGCUCAAUCUGUUACUUGGAUAACUGUGGUAAUUCUAGAGCUAAUACAUGCCGAUGAGCGCGGACCGCCUAGGAUGCAUGCAUUUAUCAGACCAAGACCAAUGCGGGGCCGAUCGCACGUCACUGUGACAGCAACGAUACAUUUGGAUGUCUUCCCUAUCAACUUUUGAAUGUACUUUCUGUGCCUACCAUGGUGACCACGGGCUAUGGGGAAUCAGGGUUCGAUACCGGAGAGGGAGCCUGAAAAACGGCUACCACAUUCAAGGAAGAUAGCAGGCGCACAAAUUACCCACUCCCGACUCCGGGAGGUAGUGAUGAAAAAUAACUUUUUCGAGGCGCUGUAAUUGGAAUGAGUUCACUUUAAAUCCUUUAACCCUUUAACGAGUACCCAUUGGAGGGCAAGUCUGGUGCCAGCAGCCACGGCAAUUCCAGCUCCAAUAGUAUAUAUUAAAGUUGCUGCAGUUAAAAAGCUUGUAGUUGGAUCUUGUGAUCGAGCUGGCAGUCUAACUCUGGUGCUGUCCCAGGCCCUGCCUAUUGGCGCUCCCUUGAUGCUCUUGACUGAGUGUCCAGGGGGUUUGAAGCUUUUACUGUGAAAAAGAGUGUUCAAAGCAGGUCAGGCGCCUGAAUACUUCAGCUAGGAAUAAUGGAACAGGACUUGUUUUGUUGGUUUUCGGAACUGGGGCCAUGAUUAAGAGGGACGGCCGGGGGCAUUCAUAUUGUGCUGCUACAGGUGAAAUUCCUGGACCGGCACAAGACGAACCAAAGCAAAAGCAUUACCCAAGAAUGUUUUCAUUAAUCAAGAACUUCUGAGGUUUUAAGACGAUCCCAUACCGUCGUAGUUUCAACCAGAAACUAUGCCGACUAGCGAUCUGGCAGCGUUACUCCCAUGGACCCACCGAGCAGCUUCCGGGAAACCAAAGUCUUUGGGUUCCGGGGGGAAUAUGGUUGCAAAGCUGAAACUUAAAGGAAUUGACGGAAGGCACCACCAGGAGUGGAGCUGCGGCUUAAUUUGACUCAACACCAGAAACCUCACCCGGCCCGGAAACUGAAAGGAUUCACGGAUUGAUAGCUCUUUCUCGAUUCUGUGGGUGGUGGUGCAUGGCAGUUCUUAGUUGGUGGAGCAAUUUGUCUGGUUAAUUCCGAUAACAAACAAGACUCCUCCAUGCUAACUAGUUACGGUACCCCCCAGUGGUCGACGUUCAACUUCUUAGAGGGACAAGUGGUGUUCAACCACACAAGAUAGAGCAAAAACAGGUCUGUAAUGCCCUUAAAUGUCUGGGGAUGCACCCGCGCUACAUUGAACGGAUCAGCAUGUGUCUACCCUUCGCUGACAGGUGCGGCUAACCCGAUGAACCCCGUUCGUGCUCGGGAGUAGGGUUUGCAAUUUAUUUCCCAUGAACAAGGAAUUCCCAGUAAGUGCGGGCCAUAAGCUCGCGUUGAUUAAGUCCCUGCCCUCUGUACACACAGGAUGUCGCUAGUACCAAUUGGAUGGUUUAGUGAGGUCCUCGGAUCGGCACUGGCCCGGUCGGCAACGGCCCUGGCAGAGCGGCGAGAAGACGAUCAAACUUGACUAUCUAGAGGAAGUAAAAAGUCAUAUGGGUCGGGUUAACUUGCUGGGGACG